rnacentral:rRNA from 1 species
AUUGAACGCUGGCGGCAGGCUUAACACAUGCAAGUCGAGCGGGGGAGGUUGCUUCGGUAACUGACCUAGCGGCGGACGGGUGAGUAAUACUUAGGAAUCUGCCUAUUAAUGGGGGACAACAUCUCGAAAGGGAUGCUAAUACCGCAUACGCCCUACGGGGGAAAGCAGGGGAUCACUCGUGACCUUGCGUUAAUAGAUGAGCCUAAGUCGGAUUAGCUAGUUGGUGGGGUAAAGGCCUACCAAGGCGACGAUCUGUAGCGGGUCUGAGAGGAUGAUCCGCCACACUGGGACUGAGACACGGCCCAGACUCCUACGGGAGGCAGCAGUGGGGAAUAUUGGACAAUGGGGGGAACCCUGAUCCAGCCAUGCCGCGUGUGUGAAGAAGGCCUUAUGGUUGUAAAGCACUUUAAGCGAGGAGGAGGCUCUUUUGGUUAAUACCCAAGAUGAGUGGACGUUACUCGCAGAAUAAGCACCGGCUAACUCUGUGCCAGCCGCCGCCGUAACAC